rnacentral:lncRNA from 1 species
GUCCAUAUCACCCUAAAUGAUUAUCAAACUAAUCAUUUAGAAAUACCUAAGGGAACAGUGACAUUUUAUACCACUAUUAAAAAUGUAGUUCAGGUAAAAUAAUUAUAUGUCUGCAUAGUUGGGAAAGGACAAAGAAAUUGACAGUAUUCCUUCCCAAACAGAGCACCAAUGUGGCCCUGCUCUUUCUCUCUUAUUUAUUGUCUUACCUUUUUCCCCACUAGAAUAUAUGCUGGCUUGUGUGUAGCCAGCAUCGGCUCUAUGACUAAUUUCCAUUAACACAGCUUGGUUAAAACCAUUGUGGUUAAAACCACAAUACUCUGUCAUCACUAUAUUAAUAGCAAAUUGAAAAUUUUUUUAGUGAUAAGAACCAGCCAAUAGUUUGGAAAAAUUAGUUUGGAAAAAUUUCAAAACUAAUUAUACUUUUUGGCCCAAGUUUUAAAAUAUUGGGGAAAUGAACUAGGUAUGGUUUAUUUUCAACAGAGAAUGAAAAAGUAUAAACAUAUCACUGGAUAUAUUUAGUGAUGAGUUCUUAUUGCCAAGUGUUUUCAUGAGACUGCUUUAUUUCAAAAAUGCAUAAAACUACCAAAACUGUUGACAUUUAAUUGCAUCAAUUUACAUCGGCUCUGAUUUUGUUAUAGAUAGUUAUUGCCUUCCAUUUUACUGAGAGAAGUGUAAUUGUUUUCAACCUUAUAGACAACAUCUGGGGAAGAUGUACGAGACUUCACAAAGGUACUUAAGAACAAGUUCAGGUCGAAGAAGUACUUUGCCAAACACCCUCGACUUGGUUACCUGCCUGUCCAGACAGUUCUUGAAGGUGACAACUUAGAGACUCCUAUCACACUCAUCAGUAUGUGGCCAGAGCACUAUGACCCCUCACAAUCUCCUCAACUGUUUCAUGAUGACACCCAUUCAAGAAUAGAACAAUAUGCCACACGACUGGCCCAGAUGGAAAGGACUAAUGGGUCUUUUCUCACUGAUAGCAGCUCCACCACAGGAAGUGUGUAAGUAAAUCAUGAAAUUAGUGCUGCCUGGGAAGGCUAGUUCUUGUAUUAUGGCUGUCAGAAACAAUCUUCACUGAUGUGGCUCUGAAUCUUGAUCCCAAUCAAAAUUAUUAAGUGUGGUUCCAAAAAUUUCUACGUAGAUUUUAUGCUUUCAAACCAUGAUAGUAUAAACUCAAUAUGUUUAUUUACUUUGUUUCAUAUAAGUUAAUGAAAAAAAUCUUACAUUUGUCAACUUAUAUACCCCACGAAAAUCAGAUUGUUUUAUUUAGGAUAACAGGUGUAUAUAUUCAUUCCAUUUGUCUUAUAUUUCUUAUUAAUUUAACAAAGGUAAUUUGACAGAAUAUGUGCCCUUUCUGUGAAAUCCUCUUUCUUCCACUAGCUAACAUUUUUUCCAUAAUAUCUGCAUUUAGCACCUCUGACCCACACAUACUUAGAUAUAUACUCCUACCCUUCAUUGAAAACUGUUAACUCCUCUGCCAAUAUUUUAUUUUAUUAGCAACUAAGAAAAGCCUCAUUGACUUUAGAAUACUAAAAAGAUAUUAUAUACUAAAAAGCUUUCUAGCCAAUUAGUUUAUUUCUGAUUUCCCCAUAUGUGUAUAUUCCACUUGGUUGUGGAACUUUCUCAGCAAAUAUUUUAUCACUGAUUAUCCCACUAUUGUGUGUACUCUUACUUUUGGAACUUUUUAUUCUUUUUUUUGUGCCCUGGAAUUCACAUUUUUAAUCCUGAAUAAUAUCUAAAAGACUAAUACUGUCAAGCUUAUGUGACUAACAAAGCUCUAUUGUGGUUUGGAUCUGAUGGGAAUCUGUAAAGUAGACAGAAAAGUUGUCAAACAUAGUAGUUGGGUGUUUUCACUAAAAAAAAA